rnacentral:rRNA from 1 species
CCGUAGGUGAACCUGCGGAAGGAUCAUUACCGAGUGUAGGGUUCCUAGCGAGCCCAACCUCCCACCCGUGUUUACUGUACCUUAGUUGCUUCGGCGGGCCCGCCAUUCAUGGCCGCCGGGGGCUCUCAGCCCCGGGCCCGCGCCCGCCGGAGACACCACGAACUCUGUCUGAUCUAGUGAAGUCUGAGUUGAUUGUAUCGCAAUCAGUUAAAACUUUCAACAAUGGAUCUCUUGGUUCCGGCAUCGAUGAAGAACGCAGCGAAAUGCGAUAACUAGUGUGAAUUGCAGAAUUCCGUGAAUCAUCGAGUCUUUGAACGCACAUUGCGCCCCCUGGUAUUCCGGGGGGCAUGCCUGUCCGAGCGUCAUUGCUGCCCAUCAAGCACGGCUUGUGUGUUGGGUCGUCGUCCCCUCUCCGGGGGGGACGGGCCCCAAAGGCAGCGGCGGCACCGCGUCCGAUCCUCGAGCGUAUGGGGCUUUGUCACCCGCUCUGUAGGCCCGGCCGGCGCUUGCCGAACGCAAAUCAAUCUUUUUCCAGGUUGACCUCGGAUCAGGUAGGGAUACCCGCUGAACUUAAGCAUAUCAAUAA